rnacentral:rRNA from 1 species
AUUGAACGCUGGCGGCAGGCCUAACACAUGCAAGUCGAGCGGCGCGGCGGUCGGGUGAGUAAUGCCUAGGAAUCUGCCUGGUUGUGGGGGCUAACGUCCGGAAACGGGCGCUAAUACCGCAUACUAUCAGAUCAGCCUAGGUCGUAUUAGCUAGCUGGUGGGGUAAAGGCCUACCAAGGCGACGAUCCGUAACUGGUCGGAGAGGAUGAUCAGUCACACUGGAACUGGGACACGGUCCCGACUCCUACGGUAGGCAGCAGUGGGGAAUAUUGGACAAGGGGCGAAAGCCUGAUCCAGCCAUGCCGCGUGUGUGAAGAAGGUCUUCGGAUUGUAAAGCACUUUAAGUUGGGAGGCGUUACCAACAGAAUAAGCACCGGCUAACUUCGUGCCAGCAGCCGCGGUAAUUC